rnacentral:rRNA from 1 species
AAACAUGUCUUUUUGAAUUUUAUUUAAAGUCUAACCUGCCCACUGAAAAAUUUUAAAUGGCCGCAGUAUCUUAACUGUGCAAAGGUAGCAUAAUCAUUAGUCUUUUAAUUGAAGGCUGGUAUGAAUGGUUGGACGAGGUAUUAACUGUUUCAAUUAAAUUUAUUAUAGAAUUUUAUUAUUUAGUCAAAAAGCUAAAAUUUUAUUAAAAGACGAGAAGACCCUAUAAAUCUUUACUUAGUUAUUUAUUUUAAUUAUAAAGAUUUAUUUAAUUAUAAUAAAUAGAUAAGUUUUAUUGGGGUGAUAUUAAAAUUUAAAAAACUUUUAAUUUGUUUUUACAUAAAUUAAUGAAUUAUUGAUCCAUAAAUUGUGAUUAAAAAUUUAAGUUACUUUAGGGAUAACAGCGUAAUUUUUUUGGAGAGUUCAUAUCGAUAAAAAAGAUUGCGACCUCGAUGUUGGAUUAAGAAAAAUUUUAGGUGUAGUAGCUUGAAAAAUUAAGUCUGUUCGACUUUUAAUUUCUUACA